rnacentral:rRNA from 1 species
GACGAACGCUGGCGGCGUGCUUAACACAUGCAAGUCGAACGGAAAGGCCCUGCUUUUGUGGGGUGCUCGAGUGGCGAACGGGUGAGUAACACGUGAGUAACCUGCCCGUGACUUUGGGAUAACUUCAGGAAACUGGGGCUAAUACCGGAUAGGAGCUCCUGCUGCAUGGGGGGGGUUGGAAAGUUUCGGCGGUUGGGGAUGGACUCGCGGCUUAUCAGCUUGUUGGUGGGGUAGUGGCUUACCAAGGCUUUGACGGGUAGCCGGCCUGAGAGGGUGACCGGCCGCAUUGGGACUGAGAUACGGCCCAGACUCCUACGGUAGGCAGCAGUGGGGAAUAUUGCACACUGGGCGGAAGCCUGAUGCAGCAACGCCGCGUGCGGGAUGACGGCCUUCGGGUUGUAAACCGCUUUCGCCUGUGACGAAGCGUGAGUGACGGUAAUGGGUAAAGAAGCACCGGCUAACUACGUG